UUUGGGAAGAUAACAGAAUUGUUGGGCUUGUAAAAUUGCUGGAAUCUUGAUAGAUAGAAGACUUUGAAUAAUAUUACAGUUUAUGAAGUUUGGUAAUUCUAGAAAUUCAUGAGCACUUCAAUGUGAGCAAGUGAGAUUAUUAGCUAGUUGAGAUUGGAACGCAUUUGAAAAUACAUGAAGGUGAAUAUAAUUACUUCGAAAUUGAGUUGUACUCUUUCUUGA